AAGAGUGGCGACCGGCGAACGGGUAAGUAACACGUACCCAACCGUCCGAUAACUCGGGGAUAGCCUUUCGAAAGAAAGAUUAAUACCCGAUGGCAUAGUUCUUCCGCAUGGUAGAACUAUUAAAGAAUUUCGGUCAUCGAUGGGGAUGCGUUCCAUUAGGUUGUUGGCGGGGUAACGGCCCACCAAGCCUUCGAUGGAUAGGGGUUCUGAGAGGAAGGUCCCCCACAUUGGAACUGAGACACGGUCCAA
rnacentral:rRNA from 1 species